rnacentral:rRNA from 1 species
AACGAACGCUGGCGGCAUGCCUAACACAUGCAAGUCGAACGAGACCUUCGGGUCUAGUGGCGCACGGGUGCGUAACGCGUGGGAAUCUGCCCUUGGGUUCGGAAUAACUCGCCGAAAGGCGUGCUAAUACCGGAUGAUGUCGUAAGAUCAAAGAUUUAUCGCCCAGGGAUGAGCCCGCGUAAGAUUGGGUAGUUGGUGAGAUAAAGGCUCACCAAGCCGACGAUCUUUAGCUGGUCUGAGAGGAUGAUUAGCCACACUGGGACUGAGACACGGCCCAG